rnacentral:piRNA from 1 species
UGCACCUCCUGGGGGCCUGGGGCUAG